AAUGAACGUUGGCGGCGUGGAUUAGGCAUGCAAGUCGUGCGAGAAGCUCCUGCUUGCAGGAGUGGACAGCGGCGAAAGGGAGAGUAAUACGUAGAAAUCUGCCCUCGGGCCUGGGAUAGCGUUGGGAAACUGGCGGUAAUACCGGAUAACGUCUUCGGACCAAAGGUGUGAUUCCGCCUGAGGAUGAGUCUACGACCUAUUAGCUAGUUGGCGGGGUAAUGGCCCACCAAGGCGAAGAUGGUUAGCGGGUGUGAGAGCAUGGCCCGUCUCACUGGGACUGAGAUACUGCCCAGACACCUACGGGUGGCUGCAGUCGAGAAUCUUCCGCAAUGGACGAAAGUCUGACGGAGCGACGCCGCGUGCUGGAUGAAGGCCCUCGGGUUGUAAACAGCUGUCGUAGGGGAGGAAAUUUUGACCGAUCCUAGGAGGAAGCGCAGGCUAAGUUCG
rnacentral:rRNA from 1 species